UCCUACGGGAGGCAGCAGUAGGGAAUCUUCGGCAAUGGGCGAAAGCCUGACCGAGCAACGCCGCGUGAGUGAGGAAGGCCUUCGGGUUGUAAAACUCUGUUGUUUGGGAAGAAGGGAAAGGGUAGGACCCUUAGGUGACGGUACCAAACGAGAAAGCCCCGGCUAACUACGUGCCAGCAGCCGCGGUAAUACGUAGGGGGCGAGCGUUGUCCGGAAUGAUUGGGCGUAAAGCGCGCGCAGGCGGUCCUUUAAGUCUGAUGUAAAAGCCCGCGGCCUAACCGCGGAAGGUCAUUGGAAACUGGGGGACUUGAGGCUAGGAGAGGGAAGUGGAAUUCCUGGUGUAGCGGUGAAAUGCGUAGAGAUCAGGAGGAAUACCGAUGGCGAAAGCAACUUCCUGGCUUAGAACUGACGCUGAGGCGCGAAAGCGUGGGGAGCAAAUAGGAUUAGAUACCCUGGUAGUCCACGCUGUAAACGAUGAGUGCUAGGUGUGAGGGGUUUCAACACCUUUCGUGCCGCAGUUAACACAAUAAGCACUCCGCCUGGGGAGUACGGUCGCAAGACUGAAA
rnacentral:rRNA from 1 species